rnacentral:tmRNA from 1 species
GGGGCUGAUUCUGGAUUCGACGGGAUUCGCGAAACCCAAGGUGCAUGCCGAGGGGCGGUUUGCCUCGUUAAAAGCCGCAAAAAAAUAGUCGCAAACGACGAAAACUACGCUUUAGCAGCUUAAUAACCUGCUUAGAGCCCUCUCUCCCUAGCCUCCGCUCUUAGGACGGGGAUCAAGAGAGGUCAAACCCAAAAGAGAUCGCGUGGAUGCCCUGCCUGGGGUUGAAGCGUUAAAACUAAUCAGGCUAGUCUGUCAGUGGCGUGUCUGUCCGCAGCUGCCAGGCGAAUGUAAAGACUGACUAAGCAUGUAGUACCGAGG